AAGAAUUCAAACAAGGUGGAACGCUUAGGACUAGUGAAUGGUCACGCCUAUUCAGUGACUGGAAGUGCAGAGGUUAGUUUGGAUUCUGACCAAGAAAAACUCAUUCGUUUGUGGAAUCCUUGGGGUAAAAGAGAAUGGAAAGGAUCUUGGAGUGAUAACUCCUCGGAAUGGCAAAAGAUCAAAGAAUCAGAGAGGACCAGGCUUUAUAACAACAAAGAAGAUGGAGAGUUUUGGUAUUUUUCUCUUUUAUUCAAAAAUUUUUUUUUACUUUAGCUUAAACUGCAAUUCUUUUCUUCUAUCCCUAAGCUUAGAUAAAGGUUUAAUGAUGAGCUUUGCUGAUUGUGCCUUUUAUGCCACCC